GUCUCGGUAGCUCAGUUGGUAGAGCAUCUGACUGUUAAUCAGAGGGUCAUAGGUUCGAGUCCUAUCCGAGACGC
rnacentral:tRNA from 1 species